AUAAUCAAAAGUACCAGAAAGAGUAACUAUCACUUUUACUUUUAGAGAGCUUGUGGGUGCUGUAAACAAGUAGUAAAGCUAGUGGAAUGGGCUGGGUGUUUUGAAGAGGGAAAUAUCUUCAGGUUUUACACGCCUUAUCGUGUUUUCCAACUUGGAAUUGAGUGUAAACAUUAGUUUACAAAUUGAGGUGGCACCGUGUUAUAACUAUUUGACGCCCUCACA
rnacentral:ncRNA from 1 species